ACCUCAAUCCCCUCGCACAGGAGCCGCCGCCAACCCUGCCCUCGACCGUGGCGCCGUCGGCGUCCCUCCUGUCGCUCGUGCCACCGCCGCCGGCGACCCUCGCACAGCCGCAGCCGCCUGCUCUCCUCUGCUGCCCCAGCGCCCCGAGCAUCGCCCCGUCGAAUAGGCGCUCCCCACGGCAGCGCCUCCUCCCUGGAUCAGCCACUGACGGCCAUCAACGCCGACGACCCAAUCCAUAGGAAGUCGUCCGCCGACGCCGAGGACGGAGAAGGUCCGGUGUCUAUAACUGUCGAUUCCGAAAGCUCAACAGGUAGCAGGCUGCACAAAAAUGUUGGGUGGGCAAGGAAUUGAAGGAUGGAAAAACUUUCGAGCUUCGCUGGAAUGAUUGUGGGCGUCCACGAUGGACGUUGCGGUGCAGGGACUUGUUUCAACAGCGGCAUUUUGAGGUCAUGCAUAUGAAGAUAGGAAAUACUGUUGAUGAGGUGGAGUUGAUCGGAAUGGGAUGUGUUUGGGAUCAUAUUGGGUUCCCCUGCUGCUAUCUCUGCACAGACGGUUGAGCGAGACCGCAGUUUUUUGUUCUUGCAGAUGCAUUCUUGGAUCAUUUCUUCUGACUAUAGUGAAUGCCUAAUCCUACGGUUAUAUGAGCAACAUUGUUUUGAUGAACUAGGCCGUGUGGUUUUCCAUCCCUGUAGCUUGAUUGCAUUCUUCAAAUGUGGCAAAGUAACGAUCGAGUUGCAUUUUUUUAUUUGUGGGGGUGUGUGUGUGUAUUGGGGGUUGUAUUGCUCGCCUUGUGGUUUACAGAAAUUUAGACGGGUGCAUGACCUUGUUGGGCGUUGUAUUGUCGGGGCUCCUGAAGAUUGAUAAAGUUGGGGCUGCUAGAUUGCACACCUAUUCUUGUCAUUGCCUCGUUAUAUAUUUUGUUGGUGCAUAAUACAAUGAGAUCACAAUUGCGCUAUGCAAAGAAUAAUGUUUGGUGGGUAAGUACAGUUCUGUCAUAGAUUCGAUCCGUGUUAUUCGAAAGGACAACAUUCCAAAAAAGUGGUCAACUUGUCUCGAACCGAG